rnacentral:lncRNA from 1 species
AAACAAAGGAAUAGUGGAGACGGCACGGUGCUCAGUGUUGCCAGAUUGGAAAUGUCGAAAUAUCGUACCAAAGGCUCAAAAUGAUCGUAUUUGGAGGAUAAUUAUCAUACCUGGCAACACUGGUGCUGUUUGAAGAGAGAAGGUGGUGGGGAUGGCGUAAUAACUACUUUGUCCCGGACGAUUUUGGAAUCCCUGCCGGACGCAUUUUUUAGGUCUCAAAAACAGGACAUAUCCGGGCAAAGCGGACGUCCGGUCACCCUAAUGUUUACGACAGCAGUGCGACAGUGACGGUGUCGGUAGCGUGGCUGCAAGACACACAUGGGGCGGAACAUAGACAUAGUAUACAGCAGUGGUUCCCAAACUUUUUACAGUCCCGUACCCCUCCAGACAUUUAAUAUCCAGCUGUCUGUUGAAUAGGGGGGCGUGGCCGGAGCGGAGUUCAGCACAGACGUGACAUUUUCUCAGUGGUUUUGUUUUCUAAUUAAUGCUUGUUCAUCGUUGCAAUCGUCUGUGUUGAAUAGGGGGGCGUGGCCGGAGCGGAGUUCAGCACAGACGUGACAUUUUCUCAGUGGUUUUGUUUUCUAAUUAAUGCUUGUUCAUCGUUGCAAUCGUUGUUGUGUUUAUUAGAAAUAAAUACAGCCUUGCCAGACAAAAUACAGGGGAAUUUGGGCGAUUUUGAUGCACAAAAUGAUGGGAACCGAUGGUAUACAGUAUACUAUGUCUAUGGGGCGGAACCCAGGAAGUUGAGGAACGAUAAAGCUGUGUGUUGUCGGUAGGAAAACUGUAUGAUCAGGGAAAGUGUAUUAAAACCGGAUGUCGUCACUUUAAGCCGGUCUCUGGUUGGAUAAAGCUUUUCAGCAGAAAUGGACAAGGACCUUUGAUUUAUUCUGUAGGAACCAUGCCGAUGCCUGACUUUUAAUAUUGUGUGACGUUGUUGAAGUUCAAGUUCAACAUUAAUAGCGAUUGAAUUACUCUUGUGUCGUGUAAUCGCUAGCGGUAAAUAAACGUUAAUAACUUGAAUGACUGAUUAAGGAU